rnacentral:rRNA from 1 species
AUCGAACGCUGGCGGCAGGCUUAACACAUGCAAGUCGAGCGGGGGAAGGUAGCUUGCUACCGGACCUAGCGGCGGACGGGUGAGUAAUGCUUAGGAAUCUGCCUAUUAGUGGGGGACAACAUCUCGAAAGGGAUGCUACUACCGCAUACGUCCUACGGGAGAAAGCAGGGGAUCUUUGGACCUUGCGCCAAUAGAUGAGCCUACGUCGGAUGAGCUAGUUGGUGGGGUAAAGGCCUACCAAGGCGACGAUCUGUAGCGGGUCUGAGAGGAUGCUCCGCCACACUCGGGCUGAGACACGGCCCAGACUCCUACGGGAGGCAGCAGUGGGGAAUAUUGGACAAAGGGGGGAACCCUGAUCCAGCCAUGCCGCGUGUGUGAAGACGGCCUUAUGGUUGUAAAGCACUUUAAGCGAGGAGGAGGCUACUUUAGUUAAUACCUAGAGAUAGUGGACGUUACUCGCAGAAUAAGCACCGGCUAACUCUGUGCCAGCAGCCGCAGUAA